rnacentral:lncRNA from 1 species
AGUGACGUUGGACAAUAUGAACAUGCUCUAAACAGAAAGCCUGACUGUAUGGGACUCAUCUCAUGUGCUGUUAUUUUCUAUUGUCUUUCAGCUUCAAACCCAUCCUACAAGCUCUGCUUUCUCAGGCUCUUUUGUUGGUUGAUUUCCAGUUAUUAUAGAUUAUGCCAAAAGAAGAAAUAUCUGAAGAUAGGUUCAGUGUGAGCUAACCAAAGAACAAGCAGGAGAGGGGCUGAGAAGAGAGGACCCUAGAAACUCGGAGCUGUUCUUCUGUUAGGAUAAGUAGAGCACCAAGCACUGCUGAAGUUUAUAAUGCGAGGGAGGGGAGAAGAACGUGGAAGGAAGCAAGGUAAAUCAGAAGGAUCGAGGUUGUGGAAGACACUGGGUAGGUGAUGGGAAAGACCUCUGACUGUUCUGGGAUGAUCGCGAGUGAGCACAGAGCUCUCUAGAGGGGGAUCCCAGGCAUGUUGGAGUUUGCGGGGAGAGGCUGUGACCAUGAUCUGCACGAUGAAUGCAGCGGAAUGAAGCUGAGGACAGGACACCAUCAACUCUAGAGCUUUAGGGUAGACCAGUGACACUGGGAGCCUGAACCCAGCCGAGGAAGUGGGGCUGGGGAGAACACGCUAGUGUCACCCCUUCAGUUCCCAGGGUGUAACCUGGGAUGUACUUACAUUGAAAGGAAACCAUCGCAAAAGGCACAGCUAGCCUCUUCUGAGUUUUAAUUUAUGCUCAUCUUCGAGGUUAAACUGUACCCUUCUUUGUGUUUCCACCCACAAAACUGUUGGGUCAGGGGAGGAGGCUGUUGGUGUAGAAGGGGGUGGGGCUUGUGGGCAGUCUCACUUUUAUUUUCUGUGUGUCACGGUGGUUAACUGGCCCUCACCCUGGCUGUAGGUGUAUGAUAAUGCAAGGAUUUGGACCCAAGUCGUAGGUUACUCCUAUCUUAAGACUCCUGCCUGGACCCUAGCACAGUUUCCUGGAAAUCCUGAACUCUAUUGCUAUAGGGAAUCAAUUGUACUUGAAAAGACAGCCAGGAAGAGACUUGGGCUCUGAAAAGAAGAGAAUUUUAAAAUGUUAAGAGUGGGGCUGGAUAGUACAUAAGAUCCUAAUGAAAUAAUUGACAGGAAGAAAUGUGAAACAGGAAGAAAAGGGCUAAAGGUGUAGGGAAAGUGGGAAGGGUAGGGGAAAGGGAAUAAGGGAAAAGAAAAAAAUA